rnacentral:rRNA from 1 species
UUUGGAGUAAAAAAACGUAACAAGGUUUCCGUAGGUGAACCUGCGGAAGGAUCAUUACAGUAUUCUUUUUGCCAGCGCUUAAUUGCGCGGCGAAAAAACCUUACACACAGUGUUUUUUGUUAUUACAAGAACUCUUGCUUUGGUCUGGACUAGAAAUAGUUUGGGCCAGAGGUUUACUAAACUAAACUUCAAUAUUUAUAUUGAAUUGUUAUUUAUUUUAAUUGUCAAUUUGUUGAUUAAAUUCAAAAAAUCUUCAAAACUUUCAACAACGGAUCUCUUGGUUCUCGCAUCGAUGAAGAACGCAGCGAAAUGCGAUAAGUAAUAUGAAUUGCAGAUUUUCGUGAAUCAUCGAAUCUUUGAACGCACAUUGCGCCCUUUGGUAUUCCAAAGGGCAUGCCUGUUUGAGCGUCAUUUCUCUCUCAAACCUUCGGGUUUGGUAUUGAGUGAUACUCUUAGUCGAACUAGGCGUUUGCUUGAAAUGUAUUGGCAUGAGUGGUACUGGAUAGUGCUAUAUGACUUUCAAUGUAUUAGGUUUAUCCAACUCGUUGAAUAGUUUAAUGGUAUAUUUCUCGGUAUUCUAGGCUCGGCCUUACAAUAUAACAAACAAGUUUGACCUCAAAUCAGGUAGGACUACCCGCUGAACUUAAGCAUAUCAAAAGGCCGGAGGGA